UACGUAGGGGGCAAGCGUUGUCCGGAAUCAUUGGGCGUAAAGAGCGUGUAGGCGGCCAGCUAAGUCCGCUGUGAAAUCUCGAGGCUCAACUUCGAGCUGUCGGUGGAAACUGUCUGGCUAGAGUCCGGAAGAGGAGGAUGGAAUUCCUGGUGUAGCGGUGAAAUGCGCAGAUAUCAGGAGGAACACCGGUGGCGAAGGCGGAUCUCUGGGCCGAUACUGACGCUGAGGAGCGAAAGCGUGGGGAGCGAACAGG
rnacentral:rRNA from 1 species